GCUGCGGUAGCUCAGUGGUAGAGCACUCCCUUGGUAAGGGAGAGGUCGAGAGUUCAUCGCCCGCCAUUCCA
rnacentral:tRNA from 1 species